rnacentral:sRNA from 1 species
GUCUUCGCAACACCUGCUAUACCAGUUAAGUGUCAUGAAGUGUUUCCUUUAGAAGUAUCCUCACUUAAGUAACUCUAUUCCGGCUAUAACACGCAACAAGCGUAAUUGAUUAGUAGAAAAUAUUUAUAGGAUUUACCCAUGUCUAAGACAACUGGUACAGUUAAGUGGUUUAACGAAGAGAAAGGUUUCGGUUUCAUCACUCAAGAGAAUGGCGGUGCAGACGUAUUCGUUCACUUCCGUGCUAUCACUGGUGAAGGUUUCCGCACUCUAGCUGAAGGCCAAAAAGUUGCGUUUGAAGUUGAGCAAGGUCAAAAAGGCCCUCAAGCUGCAAACGUUGAAGUACUAUAAUUAAGUACUUAUAAAGAAUUAAAAAAAGCCGCACCUGUUGCGGCUUUUUUGUG